CAUCUGAAAAACAUGCACUUACCUGGUCUUAAUUAUUAUUUUAAGUGUGAAUUUUAUCAUUUUUUGUUGUAUUUUAUUUUGAAAACCCAGAAACCGGAUCUCACUCUAGCGUUUGGAAGCUGCUAAGGCUUCCGCUCCUCACAGCGCGCGUUUGCACUGUGAGGGUAAGUUCUGUAAUGAAAGGCUCUGGCAUUUUUAUGGUUUCUGGUGUGAAUGUUGUUACAUAAGUUGUACAUGUCGAUGUAUAUAGGUUUAUAUUGAUGUUAGGAUGUUACUGUGUAACCGAAACAAAGGCUGGUUGCUGUUAAACAGUGUUUCUGCCGUAUUUAUGCUCUUUGGCAGUAAGCUUUUGUCGGCCCCCUAGUGGUUGCUGCGCAUAGCAGUAAAUGUGUUUGGAUUUACUGUUUUUCUGUGCUUUUUGUGAUGUUGUUUUACAUUGUAGGAGCUACAAUUGCUGGUACCACCAGAAGACACAUGUUAAGUGUUUUCUAUGUCUUCUGCAGGAAUAAACCGUGAACAGCCAACCAUUCUGAGUGUCUGUGGUUCAUGAAGAACGGAAGCGUUACACUGGUGCCGUGACCAUUAGGAUCUUCAGAUCAGCUUGAUGCUCAUCGCCGUGGCUGCUGUUCUGCUCCCCUGCUGUUCACAAGUUGAAUGUGGGUUGUUGUAACCAAGAGCUACAAUUGCUGGUACCACCAGAAGACACAUGUUAAGUGUUUUCUAUGUCUUCUGCAGGUACGUGAGCUUGUUAACAGUCAUCUUGUCUGUAAAGCACAAGCAAGUGAAAAUGUAAUGCGCUACUGUUAAUUUGUCCACUAGAGGGAAAUGUUUAGCCGGUGACACUUCUGUUAUCCUGUUAUUUUGUUUUAUACGAUUGUGAAAUGUAAUUUUUAUAAGUUGUAAGAUGUCUUUUUGUAUUCAAGUACGGUGUGACAGACUGUAAAAUGGAAGAAAUGAUUAUUUUCCAUCUUUUCUUUAUUAAGAAGUAGAUUGAAGUCUGUCAACACAGCGCGCGUUUGCGCUGUGAGGGAGCUACAAUUGCUGGUACCACCAGAAGACACAUGUUAAGUGUUUUCUAUGUCUUCUGCAGGAAUAAACCGUGAACAGCCAA